AGUGCAGAUUGGAAAGGUUUCUCAUCAAGCUGUGUGACAGGGGAGAGGAAUUCCUCGAGUGGCUGAUGGAUGUGAGCUGCUGCGUGACGGGAGCGCGCGUCCUCCUGACGGCAGCGGCGUAGGAGUCCUGGCUGCGCAGCUAAAGAGAGUUCUCUCUGAAGAUUCCCAAGUUUUUCUGCUGGGAGAAUGGCCCUCCUAGGUGAAGAUGCAGCAGUACUGCUGUCCAGCUCACAAGAAAACCAAGAACUACAGAACAGUAUAAAGACCACAGCACAUUUUCAUGCCUCAAGAAAUGCUCAGGUUGCUUUGAGUUCUAGAUGCAUAUGAAACUAUAAUUCUGUUUAUUUUAGAUACCAAAUAUGUUCUCUAUUUAGCUUUGAACUUUUUUGUUGCUAAUACUACUGAAACUCCAUAGACUCCAUAAUAUUCACACUAUAACUUACUGCAACAUGCAAUAUAUGCUGAUAAUACCUUUAAAUGGAUGAUGUGUCCUCUGGAAACAAUUCCCAUCUCCUUUAAAUCCUCUUCUUCUAGAAGAAGCAAUUGCUUCCCAGUGAUAUGAUGUUCCUUAAACAAGCUAGCAUAGACACUCAUUUCACCAGAAGCAUCGCCUUAAGAUAAAAGAGGUUAUUCAGAAAUCCACAUGGCACAUUAUUGGAGGGGGGAAAAUGAACAAAUGUAUAUUAGUGCAUAAAUGCGAGCAUGAAAGGACAUAUGAGUAGCUUUUACCUUUUCUAGUAAGUUGUUGCAUCCAGAAAAACUGCAAAAAAGAGGAAUCAAUCUUGAAGUUCAAAUUAUCAAAAUUUUGUAUUACAGUUAUUUGGAGUUCACAAGUAAUUAUCUUUCAUAAAACAAAAUUUAAAAUACUUCUCACUUUGGGAUAAAGGACUCGGGAUUCACCAAUGCAAGUGAUUACUUCUUGGGCAGCUUUCCCAAACUGCCUUCCAUUUUGCAGCCCCCUUUCUCAGUUUAUUGUCAUGAAGAACUGAAACGACCAAAGUAGAAGCUGAGAAAUGUCAUGUGCUAAAAGAGCUGAAGUGAAGGAGCCAGAUCUUUUAUGGUUUUUGUACUGGCUUUCCAGACAGUCCUUUGGGAAAUGUCAGCCAAACAACCCCAUGAUGCAUAAGACACAAAGGGAGUGCUUGAUAGGACAUUAACAUAAUUUUGACACAUCACUAUGUCAGAGAUAAAUCACUGAUGUGUCUUGUUUAGCCUUUUAACUGAAUAAAAAGGUAUAAAGUACUCAAUGCCAUUAUUUUAUAUGAAAGAGAGAUUCCACACCCCCUAAAAAGCCCUAAACUUUUUUUCAGUUAAUUGCCAUCCAGGUGGCAAUGGGAUAAAACUAUAAAACAUUUGAGCUUAUCCUGUCCAGGAUCAGGUCACUGGGCACUUCCACAUUCCUUAAACAAGGACCCAGGAAUUCCCUCCUGGCUGCUCUCAGUUCCCAGCUCCCACUAUUUUCUGGACACUGGAGAAUGUGGCUGUUUUAUGAAGGUAAUUCAAAUCCUUAAUUUGCUUCUGGUCAUUUUCAAGACUUUCUGGGACACAAGUUUCACCAAACAAACAGCAGUAAAAUCUCACCUAGAUUUUCUGAUCUGGCCUUCCCUCCCACCACGCCCACUGUAAUUUGUCAGAGAGCUCCAGCAUCACCAGCCUGGCCACGUUAACACAAAAUACUCACCACAUCUUCCUCGGUCCACGCACAAAUAUCAAAGGAGGGCAGCAACUGUGUGAGAGAUACGAAUUGAAAAGAAAACCAUCUGACCAUUUUCCUCCCCUCCACCCAAAUUUUACUUUGGUGGCUGAUACUAUUCUGUUCCUUUUCCCCUGCAAAGUGCAGGACUUUAGCUGCAACUCAUAUUGAUGUACUAAACCACUGGAUUCACACUGAUUGUGGGCUGGCUCCAACAGCGUGUUGGCAGUGUUAAAUCGAUCGUGUCCCUCUCUGCAGAUAAAAUUACCAGCAGAUCUUCAACAAAAACAACUUAGGAAGCAAAAGUAAACCAUCUGAUGGCAAGGGACUCUAUCUGCCUCUCCUCCUGGUUCUGACACUAUAGGAAGGUUUUUCCUAUGGCUUUGGUCUGCAAUGAAAAUAAUGCUGGCAUUAGGACUCCCUCCCAGAUGAUGGAUAUUUUCUGCAAAAGGAAGGAAAACUUUCACUGGACAGCAGCGAAAACAGAAUUUGGAGUCUGGCCACUGCAGACUGUCUUCCCACCCACGUACAGACAAGUCUCUCUUGCUUUCUGCCACUGCUGUGUAACGACUCCUGUAAGGCUGGAGGAGUGCAGCACUUCCCAGCCUCCUACACUUUGUUGGAUGCAAGAUGGUGUUAGCUCUUGAAGCACUAGGAACCCACGGAGGAAUGGCUGCGUUAAAUGAAAUUCUGGGAUGAUUUGAAAACUGACAGAGGAGAAGAUGUCACUGUAAUAGUGAUUGUCAUUUUACUCAUUCAAGUGUAUUGUAUCUAAAGUGUCAUCCUCUUGGCAUUUUUAUUCAGCUUAAGGGGUUACCAUUAAUUGUUGUAGAUCUGUAUUUCGACAGUCAGCGUCUCCCAGAAGCUCAAUAUCAUGAUGUAGUUGCAAACUUUUUGAUGUAGAUAACAGUGAUUUAUGAGACACUCAGCUCAGUUACCCCCGAGCCCCCAUGGCUUUGUCACCUCCUUCAGAGAGCCCUGCCACCCCCAGGGUCCCCAGACCCCACCCACAAGCCAAGCAUGUCCCCAUGGCAGGCCCUCACCCCGGCACCUCCAGCUGCACACUAAGUGACCUGGGCAGAACACUGUGGGGCAAAAGUAGUGCUGGGGGCAACACUAAAGGACAAGGACAAGGAAGGGCAAGUGGCAAUAAUGAACACACUCAGGAGGCUGAGAGUUGUGCCUUUUGUAGGUACUUAGAGUCAAACUGGCUGGUGCUGCAGCAGGAGCCUGGUACAAUGAUUUGUACAACUGAAAAAUUUACUGCAGAAGUCCAAUAAUGCAUUUUUAGAUGUACAGUUUUUUCUGCUUCCUUCUGGUUAUAUUUAAACCAGAAGUGGCAGAAUAGUUCUGUAUUAUUUCUCUCUUGUCUUUUUUUCUUAAUGGGAGAAUAAAGGAGAAACGUCACACAGUUAGUAAUACAGAAAAGUGACUUAAACCAGCAGACAAUAAGAAACUUCUUGGAACGCUAGUGUUUUACACAGUGACACAAAUGCAUAAAAUUUACUGUCAAAAUGUUUAUUGCAAAAUAGAAGUUUGGAACAAAAGAGAAGCAAGGGAAAAGUUCACACCAAAGGAAAGUUUAUGACACCAAUUGAGGAAAUUGAAUACAUUGUAUGAUUUCUUUUUGUUUGUUUGCUUUGGUUUUACACUGGAAAAUCGAAUCCACAGUGUGAAUAAAACAAGACAUGAUAUGUCAAGUGCAAUAAAGAGAAUAACUGACACUGCAAGAUUUUACCACACACAAGUGUAACAUUGCAUGUUCCACACAAAUGAUAUAUUCAGUUUACAGCACAAGAGUCUUGGCAUAGGCAUUGCGCUCAGCUUUGCUUUUUCAGAAGGGAGAAUGAAGUUUUCUAACAUUGUGAAAAUAUUUUCUAUUCAAAUUCCAUCAGUUCAAACCUGAAGUGUAAAUAGCAUCGACUCCUACUAUUCAGUACAAAACUUCUUCAGUAGUGCAAAAGCAAGAAAUGCAGUGGACUAUAUCUGACUUUAAAAGGCAUAUGAGUAUUUAGCACACAAUAUAAAAUGUUAAAAGAAAGUCAUUGGUUCUAUAGUUUUAAAAUUAAAUCUUCACACAUCAGAAAUCUCUGUGCAGAUUUUACAGUGUACACUAAGUUGAAGCCUGGGGGAAAGGGGAAAGGUCUCUCCUCCAGAUUCCUACCAGUGCAUUUUAAGGGCUGUGAAAAUUACUAAAUGAACUUACUUUUUCUACCUGAACAUUCUACAUAGGACUGUAGUUAAAACCUCUGUCAAGUCAGAGGUCCUAUUAAAAACCUGUAAAAGCUGCCUGAUUACAGAUAAAGGAAGUACACCACUAAAAACACACAGUAACACUGCUCAAUACUUAACAGCUAUAUGCACACUACAGAUCUAUUGCUACUGCUGAGAGCAAUACCCAUCAUUACUGCAUCAGAUAUUUAACUCAGAAUAAACACUUUAAAACCCAGAAGGAAAGGGAAUCAACAUCUAAGGAAACCUCUGGAAUGAUAAGCAAAUGACAAGCCAUGAACAUGACUAUGUGACAAGAGGCGACGCCAGACCUCACCUCCAGAAAGCCCUUCCAGUCCAGAGGGGACGAGCUCCUUGUCAGGGAGCACACAACGGCUGGCAAUGCAGCACACCCACACUGUACCCUAAGGCACUUGCUACUCCAAGAAAUUAGUGAUGACAUUGUCACAAAAAUGACUAGAUCAACAGUUUUCCUUCAGUAAUCCCAUUUCCGUAUUUUUUCACCACUGCUAAGGAAAGAAAAGGAGUUGGGAGUUGGACAUCCUGUCUUGGUCCCAGCUGACCAUUAAGCAAGUCAAAAGUCGAUCCUCCCCAUUCUUCUCUGAGGCCAUUUACCCACCUAAGUUAAUGUUUGCAGCACAGCAGCCUGGUAAAUAUGCCAAGUUCAGGCCUGGUUCUUACCUUUCCCCUCCAUCAAAUGCAGUGAUAUUUUUUUACUACAAAUACCUUCAGGCUUUAUGGAAGCCAGAGGAAAUUGGGAACCCAAAAGGCCUGGCAGGGCCUAUUGAGCUGAGAGGUGUACAAGGCACAGGAAGGCUUUUGGUGGCUUGUUUGGGCUUUGGCCCAGAGCAGCCAGAGAAAUGCCUUCUGGGUUUGGUUAAUGCUUUCAUUAGCUGACACAAAAUGUGGCUGUGGACUGCUGUGGAGAUUUGUAUAACCUGAGGAUGAGACAGAAGAUGGACUUGGAUACACUGCAGAGCAAAAUCAGGUGUGGAAGACGAAAUACUCUGCCCUCCUCCAACCACCAUACCUGCCCACCAGAACCACUUUUUAAAGCCCUUAUCUAGUGAGAAGCGUUUCAGAGGCAGAAACAACACAGCUUGAUUCUCACAUAUGAUAACUGGCUUGUAAACUGGAGACAACUAGUGCGAAACUCAUCAGAGGAAAGUAAAAAUGCAAUUAAUACCACUGCUUUUUUAGUAAGCAUAGCCAAUAUUCUAAGUAUAAUACUAUCUCAACUGCAUCAGAAGAAUUUGUCACGUUAUCACCUUAUCUACAAUUCAGAGGUCACCUUUGCUACUUUAAAUGCAUGGGGAAGUUUUAGAAGAACUUGAACUUUUCCUUAAUAUAGUUUCAUUUGCUUUGAGAAACAACAUGGGGGACAAAGGUGAAGGGGGAAAAAAUCCAUCUUGCUUCGUUAAAAAAUAUUGAACCAAGUAGGUCGAAAUCACUACAAGCACAUUAUCACAUUCUGAUGAUAUUUGCUGAUAUAAGUUACAACACUUGGGUAAGCACAAAACCUUGAAGACAGACUUAAACCUUGUGAUGUUGCAGCAAUGAAUAUCUGUGUCAUACUACUUAAAAUCUAUUUUUAUUUCUGUAAAGAUUAAGGAGUUAAUUUACAAAUUCACUUAAAACCUACACAAACAUAAAUGUGCAUUAAGUGCUCCAAGAUUGUCAAACACCAAAAAGUGCAAAAUAUCAAUGCUAGGAACAGAUUUUUUGGGGUUUUUGAAUUAGAUAUUUACUGAACCAAAUUUUGUUUUCAGUUGUACAUCCCUACACUGCUUCUGUGAUAAUUUAUGCACAAUGAUACACAUCUUGAGACCUAAAGUGCACAUAUUACAUUACACAAAUCCAUCAAAUUUUGCUGAGUGCAAAGUGGCAGUGACAAAAAUAGUGUCAUUGCUGUGGGUGUUAGCAGACGUAGACUUACAAAAAUAGUACAAAUCUACACUGGAAAAGGCUAUUUGUUCUUAUAUCCAUUCCAUCAUUUGCCCUUCCAACUCUC